AGUGGCCGUACUUGGAAAGAAAGAACGACCUCGUGUCAUCCUUUUGGCUCCUCUCAACCAUAGCUCAUCUCAAGUAAUAUUUCAGUGGUGUUUUAAGUUUCUCACCAUCCUUUAUUGCUAAAACAUUUCCUCUUUUGACUGAAGCACACAGGCGUGAGAAGAAGCAAGAUAGAAUCUGUUUGCGUGCACCCGUGCUCGCCUUCAUAUAUUCCCUGAUCGGAGAGAUUACAAAGAACCAUUAAAAAGUGUCCACAUCACUGACGAGGAGUCCACACGCUCACAGCUGACCGAGGAGCAAGGCAACGUCUGCACAAAAACAGACAAGGAUUAUUCGGACAAUGAAAAGAGCCGGUGACUGCUAAUGCUAUUGUCAAUGAUUUUCUACAAGAAUGUCAAUGAAAUGAAACUCCAGUGCUGGUCCUCCGAGGCCAUAUGGUGUGGUGAAGGAGGGGCCCCAGCGCCCUAGCCCAGGCCACGUUCCUGCCCUGGCCCUCUCAGCACCUGGCCGUAAAGACAACGCUCCAGACCCAAGCAAGGGUUUUUAGGUUGGGAAGAAAGGACCUGCUGUUUCAGUAACCCAAAGAUACCAGAAAAAGAACUUACAGGGAGACAAGGCUGAAAAAAGAAGGAGGAGAGGACCAGAGGGAGGAAUCUGAGAGAAGGUAAAACAGAAGAGGGAAAGGAGAAAGAGAAACACCAGAAGAGAAUGUGAACUUCCUGGGGCUGGAGCUGCUGAUUCGCCCCCUGCUAUGUCUCCAGGGAUGGGUUCAGGACAUGCACAGAAGAGUCUCUCAAGCUAAAUUUGAACAUUUCACAUAUGAAUUCUGCCCUGAAAUUGGAGGAAACAUCAUGGCAUCAUGAAGAGCCAGGAGAACUGGAUUCAAAUGCCACUUCUGUCACUUGCUUGUUCUGUGACCUUGAAUGAAUUGGAACUCAUUUCCUCAGCUGGGACGUGAAGAAUUGGGCCUGCUCUGGCUGCUUCUGUGGCUGGAAGAUCUUAAUUAGACUGAGCAUAUGAAGGCCUUUGUAGACUUUGAAGUGCUUUACGAAUGUUAACAUUUUACUCAAGAGAUUUUCGUGACUCAGUGGAUGGAAUAAGAAAGGAGAACAGAAGUAAUACAGUUUUUAUUUAUCACCUUAUACAUAAUGCAGAUACAAUUCAUUAUAUUUAAUAUUUAUGGCCAUUUUAAGAAAAAAAUUCAUUUGUCAAAACUA